GCGGGGCGGCGCGGGGCGGCGGGCGGAGAGCGGAGAGUUGUUAGCAGCCGCUUCUCGCUCCUUUCCGAGCCUUGGUCCCGCCGCUGGGGCUUGCCCGUGUGUCUGCGUCAUUCGCGUGACAUCGGCCUGGGCCAUGACGUCACCUCUGGAGGCGUGAAGGUCAGCGCAGCAGCCGUGACGGCGCUGCCCCGGGCGGCAAGGUGGCCGCUUACGCUGGUGCCUCGCCUCGCCUCGCCUCGCUUCGCCUCGUCUCCCUGAGACACGGCGGCGGCGCUCGCCCGGCCCGGGGCCGCAGCCCCGCGGCCUCCCUGCUCCCCUGCGGGAGGCGGGGGCUCCCUCCGCCGGCCGGGGCCCCGUUGGCCGGGGCUCUCCGGGCGCACUCGGCCCUGCCGUGGGGGCACCACCGACGCCUUGUGAUGGCGCACGCCUUCUAAACCACCACUGCCUCGGCCGCACCCGCGGGCUGGAGUGUCGCUGCCGGUGUUGGCAGCCUGUCCUAGCAAAUCCCAGCCUCGUGCCAGCCCCACGGGCUGUACGUGCGUGCGCCUGGAUGCGAUGUCACAUCAGUGUCCUGUGGAUCGACGUAUGGACCAGAGAUCGAGAAGGAACGCAUGAGAUUACAGGGGAGUCUUAACAAUUUAAUGACAGACAUACUUGCAUCACCCAACAAAAUAAAAUCCUACUCAGUGGUUCUUCACAUGCUCCUCCUGCAGGCUGUCUCACUCGGAGAGCUGAAGCAAGCUGAGCCUGCCUCCGUGUCAAAUUUUCAGAAGUAACUCCCGUGUGAGCAUCCCAGAAAUGGCAGGUAUCCAGUGGGUUCCUGACACCUUUGACCAACACUUUCUCUUCAAUCAAUUAUAUCCUUAAUUUAAUGGCUCCCGACAAUAAACUACUUUGGAACCCCUUUCUCAAUGGGUAGAAAUACAUGCUGUUUUUGAAAGUGUUAGGCUAUCAGCCGUGCCAGGAAAUGCUCUGGCAAACAAAAAUUAUGUCCACAGAUAGAGUGUGACAAAAAAUUUGCUUCAAGCCACAAGUCAGAGGCUUAACCAUUGUUUGUGUCAGGUUACUUUACAGCUUGUGAUUUGGGUUAGUUGGGUGGGAAUGUGGCUGUGAAGCAGGGUUCUUUGUUUGAGACACAGGCCCCUGCUUUAGCCAGCUUAUAGAGCCAUACGUAAAAUGGCCUCUUUGCUUUCACUUAUCAGGAUGCCGUUCACCUUUCUGCUCUGCUGAGCACCAUUUCAUGACUUCACAGCCCAGGAAUUAAACCCAACACACAAAGCAGCUUUACCGGUAAUUGUCUCCAGAUUAAAUUAAAUGCCUGUUCUCAUACAGUGUAUCUGAAUUGUAUCAGACCCACUUCUCAGUUUACACACUUGUUCCUGUCAGUGAGAGGCAGCUACUGAAAAAUGUUGCAGACCUUGGGAGCCUGUCUCUGUGUGAUUCGAUGAAAGUACUGGGGAUUUUGUGUGUUCAACAUGAUGUUAAUUCUAUUGUGUUUCAUAAUGAAAAAAAAAAAAGCUUAGUCCACUAGUAUAACACCAGUAGCUCUGUUUUAUGCUGUGACUUCUAAAUUCCCACUGUCACGGUGUUUGGCAGUUCGAAAUUUUGGUUUUAUUUUUGUUCAAAAUUUUGAGGAAUGAGUAAAAUUCAUAUUUUUUAAAAAAAAUAGAUAAACUGGUGUAAAAUAAUCUUGACCAGCUUAAUUAAGUUGUGCCUUUUUCCUUUCACUUUUGUGCAUUACAUUUUCAUAUGUGGAGAGUAUAAAACUAUACGUUUCAGGAAGAAAACAUUUAAACAACAAAAUUAAAGAACUGGUCAGUUUCUGCUGAAGUGGAUUUAUGUAUGUAUUUCUUCUAUUUUAUUUUCUCAUGAUUGUUUACUAUAUAACUGAAUUGUGUAACUGUUCCAGAAAUUCUUGACUCAGAAUGUGCUGCAGCCUGCUUUUUAGUUAAAACAUUUAUGUCACUGCUGACUGUCCAGCUGGUGUAGCUGAUGAAUAGGAGUUUGGGGCUCAUCAUCUUUUUUAAAAUUUCACAACCUCUUAUUUCUCAUUAACAGUAUGCUUCGUGGUUGCCAAACUUAUCCCGCCAAUCUCUCAAAGACCAGCAUAUUAUCACAUUACUCAAUAUAAUCUUUGCAUAGUUUCCAUAAUGAUGCUCUAUGUGAAAGUAAUCUCAAAACUUGAGUUUGGGGCCAUAUUCGGCAAAGAUGCAAAAAGAAUAUGGACUCACCUUCACAUUUCUUAAUGCAGGGGAGUCUGGUGAAAAGUUGACCCAAAUUCAUUCAGCCUCAGUCAGAUUUUACAAAUGCCCCUCAACUGUGGUGGUUUAUUUAUGAAAAAAGCCAAAGACCACUCUUUUCAGAAGAAUCGUGUAGUCUUUAAUGGCCAGACAGCCUUUGGAGUGAAUUGGUUUUCAACAUUAAGGUUUUAAUUUCUCCAUGGGUCAACACUGAGUCCUUUUAAGAGUAGGUCAAGUAUUAAGGUGCUUUUUUUGAAUUGCACACGCUGCUUUGUAGUCAGAAAAGAAAUAGAACAGACUUUUGAAAAUUAAAUGCAAGUUAAUUGUUUUCUACUAAUCUUUUAAUUUUUUUAAUAAAGGAUUAAGCUUUUUUAGCUGCAUAGACUGU